rnacentral:misc_RNA from 1 species
UUGUCCAAUAUGUGGCAAGGUAUGCUUGAUUUGCUCUUUUAGAAAAGAUUCAAAUUUGAGUCUGAAAAGCUAGUACCUCUGGUAUGUUAUUGCAGUUAAUGUUUUUAUUUACCAAAUUAGACUUGAAAGCUGCUUGCAGCUAGUUUUAUCCCAUACUCUCAAAAUUUAAUUAUGUAAUGUUCAUGUUUGUAUCCAUUCUGUUAUGGUGGGGAUAUAGCACAAGUGAAGCUAAAAAGCCCAUUGACCAUUUAGACUCCUCUCCCCUUGCCUGUGUGUGUUCAGAAUUUACUGCAAUCAAUAAUUCUUAUAUUUAUCUGUUUCUGGUGUCAACAUAGAGAGCAUCAUGUAACUUAAUCUUGUCCUCCAAUCAGGAUGGUUGCAAUUUGAAAAUAUGUUCAUCCACCUUCAUAUGUGUGGUUGGUUGCUUGGUUACAAAUGCAAGGAGAACCCUUUGUAGAUAUAAUAAAUAAUAGAUUUGUUUUGGUAUAUAUCUAAUACGAACUGCUUAUUUCUGGAAUUUUAGGAGAUGGAGUUUUGUG